rnacentral:miRNA from 1 species
AGCUCGCUGAACAAUGAAUGC